GAAGUGCUUGAUACAAACAUCUCAUGAUUUACCUAAAAAAUACAGGAUUGAUGGAAAGAAUAUAAUUAAUUUCUAAAUGUCUCGGUUUGUCAUAUACUGCUCCACACUCCAGUCUCGUAUGUGGCAUUAAUGCACCUUUAAAAUUGGUUGUCAGCCACCAAUCAGAAGAAGAAGAAGAAGAAGCUUCCUACCAGCGAAAUCCUGAUCCAUACUUUAUUCCAGUUGGUGGCGGUAAUGCACCAAAUAGUUAGGUUGCCAACUGCCAAUAAACACCGAAGAAGAGGAAGCAGAAGAGCAAGUUCUUCAGUUUGGCGGUUUUCUGAGCCUACAAGUAUCAAAGCAUCAGGAAGAAGAGAAAUCUGCAGAGACAGAGUUUAUUGAAGGACAGAGAGAACAUGAAGAUCCAGAACCCUGCAGAAUCAAACAGACUGAAGAACAAACAGGUUGCUGUUUAUUCUUCAUCCUUCAGUGAUGAAGCUGAAAAAUGUUUGUAUAUAUAUGUGGAUUUUAGCAGUGGCAGGUAACAUGUUCACUCCUACUAUGAUGAUUCUGAUUUUAUUACAUUCUGUGUAAACGGCGAUUGAUAAUGGAUCAGUAACAAGGUCGUGUCAGUUGAAGCUCACACAGCCUUCUGUGAGAGAAUCUCGUGGAGAAAUCAAAACAAAUGAACACAACUGCACACAGAAGAAACAUAAAAAUGUAACUUAGUUCUCAUUUAUAACAUACAGUCUAGUUAAGCAACAUGACACGACCGAGAGUGUGAAGUUUUUCCUGGAAACCACGAAUGAAAAUUUGACGUUUUAAAGCGUUAAAAUGAGUAGUUCAUAUACAUUUUAGUUCAAUAUUUGAUAUAUUGUCAAAGUUGACUGUUUUUGCUCCAUUUGGUUAAUAAUAAAAAUAGUUCCAAACAAAGAUCACAGUCGCGCUUCUCUGAGCAGCACACAGCAGUGUUUCGUUACUGAAGGAUUCGUGUUUGUGAAUUUUGAAUCAUUUGAGUCAGUGAUUCAGUGGUUCAUUCAUAAAGACAUGCCCUGUGUCUCAAUGUUCAUACUAUCCAUCCUAAAUAGUAUGUGAGAUUAGAAUGUGUAUAGAAAUAUAAUGUAGGAACCAGUUAAAUGUCCUUGUUAGUUUUUAUCAUAUUUAGUCAACCUUAUCCUAUCUUUAAGUGUUGUAUUAGUAGUUUUUUUUUUGUUUGUUUUGUUAGUUAGCCUACUAUUUAGGACCAAAAUCUAAGAAAAGAUGAUGUUGUACUGGCUGUGACUAAGUGCAGCGGUUUAUUGGCUAACGUUACCAGAUCUCUCUUUUUUCCUUUUCUUUUUGAGUAAAGAAAACGCUGUACUUUAUUAUUAUUAUUAGGCAAAGAAAAUUGUUUUUAAAAAAUAAUGUUAUUAACCGGUAUUUCUUCCACCCGAACCGGUUUUUGGAUAGGUAAUAAUAUCAGAAGAACGCAGGAACAGAAACAUUAAAAUAUCGAUUCUGCUCAGAGUUAACCAAUUGCAUUUUUGUUUUUUCGUUUUUCAAGCCCUGAUUGUGAAUGUGUUACAACCACUGACCAUUUUAGCAGUUCUUAGACCUAAAAAAGACACAAAAUGUAUUUUGACACAAAAAUGUCUUGGAUUAAAACAUUUUUUUCUGUUAUAAUGUUAAACUCAAAAAUCAAACCAAUGCCACAGCAAAAAAAAUUAUAUGCUACAAAAUACA
rnacentral:lncRNA from 1 species